AAGCUCCUAUCGCCUUGAAACUGCCUAAAUAGCGUUUUCAGUGUCUAAAGCGCCCAACUGUUUUAGCACACA